rnacentral:rRNA from 1 species
AUUGAACGCUGGCGGAAUGCUUUACACAUGCAAGGUCGAACGGUAGAGGGGGCAACCCUUGAGAGUGGCGAACGGGUGAGUAAUAUAUCGGAACGUGCCCAGUCGUGGGGGAUAACGUAGCGAAAGUUACGCUAAUACCGCAUACGAUCUACGGAUGAAAGCGGGGGACUCGCAAGAGCCUCGCGCGAUUGGAGCGGCCGAUAUCUGAUUAGCUAGUUGGUGGGGUAAAGGCCUACCAAGGCAUCGAUCAGUAGCUGGUCUGAGAGGACGACCAGCCACACUGGAACUGAGACACGGUCCAGACUCCUACGGGAGGCAGCAGUGGGGAAUUUUGGACAAUGGGGCAACCUGAUCCAGCAAUGCCGCGUGAGUGAAGAAGGCCUUCGGGUUGUAAAGCUCUUUUGUCAGGGAAGAAACGGUGAGGGCUAAUAUCCUUUGCUAAUGACGGUACCUGAAGAAUAAGCACCGGCUAACUACGUG